UGUCAUUCAGAGAGAAGGCCUGGAGGAGAAGGAACAGCAAAAACAUACAAAGGAGCAGGAUUUGUGGUGGAACAGGCUGAAUUAUUUCACUGGGAACUCCUUGGGGGACCAUUUGAUUCUCUGGUUUUCUUGGAACCAUGAGCAUCUAUUGAUUUGCUCACGAAAUACAUUGUAAUUUAAAAUAAAAAUAAAACAUGUCCCCCUGUUGCUGAUUCACUUACUUAAAUGGCUCUUAACCUGGGACAUCGACACCCUCUGGAGACAUUUCUGGGGGUGACACUGGAGAGACCAGGUGUGAGACAGGGCAGUCACAAAGGCCAGAGGAUGCCCGGGCCGGGCCUGCAGCGCCACAGUGAGAAGCCUGGCUCAUUUCAUCCCUGGAGGUCUCUCCGGAGUCUGGAGUGGUGGGAAGGCUUCUCCCAGCUCCCGUGGGGCAGGGUAGGGGUGAACGGCACGGAGCUGACACCUGGCAGUCCUGAAAGUGGCCGAGAGCAGCCCUGGGGUAGGUGGACGGAUGGACGCACGGCAGAGGGUGCAGAGGGGCAGGUCGGCAGCCAGGGUCCCGCUCAGGCUCGCAGGGCGGAAGGCCGGGAACCGGGCCCGGGCCUCUGAAGUCCAGCGACUGCCCGCGCCCUCCCAACCGCGCGGCGAGGCUGCUCCCAGCAGUGUGUGGCCCCUGAUUCCCGACACACAGUUCGGAGACAGAAGUGUUUGGGCCAAGGUCACACAGUGGCUCAGGGACAACCCCGAGGUUCCGACCGAGCCCAAACUUUGGCCCGCCGCCAGAGUCCCCGGCUCCGGCCGCCCGGGACUCGCUGGCCGGUUCUGCAGGGGACGAAGCCUUUCUUCUCAAAACUGCCGCCCAUCGGACCGUGAGCUGUCUGCACUCAGCUUUUCACACGCACGUUCCUCCAGCCGCAAGCCCAGCCCCAGGCCCGCGCUGGCGGGGGCCUCACUGUGCCCCCAGGUGUGAGGUAGGGGUAGGUUAGGGCACAAAGAGAGAAAGACGAGUCGGUGAAACUCAAAACGCCCGCUCCCCUGGUAAAUUUAAGGGUUUUCCUUGGGAGGGGAUCUUUGCCCUGCCUCCUGGCGGGGGGGAGGACCCCGGGAGGGCAGAGGUCGCUCGGAGUGGGGACGCGGAGCAGCGCCCCCCCCGUUUCCGGCCGCCGCAGCCAGCCUUGGCUGGGCGCCUGGAUCCCGUUUCCAUGACGACAAGAAGAGGCGGUGGCGGCGGCGAGCGAAGCCGGCGAUGGAGGCUGGCAGGUCGGACGCCUGGGUCCCUCACUGCUGGGGGAGGGGCAGCGGCGAGAACCGGGAGCCCUGGGGCUUCUCGGGGGCGCCGGCAGGGAGGCUGGACGUCCCUCCGCAGCCCGUCGGAGAGUUGACCCGUCGCCGCCAGAGCCGGACGCCAUGGCCGCGCGCUGACCCCGCCGCCGCCUCCCGCCGCCUCCCGCCGCCCGCGCCCGGCCCGGGCCCCCAGUUCCGCCU
rnacentral:lncRNA from 1 species